rnacentral:rRNA from 1 species
GUCUAUGGCCAUGCUACCCUGAACAAGCCCAAUCCCGUCUGAUCUCAGAAGCUAAGCAGGGUUGGGCCUGGUUAGUACUUGCAUGGGAGACCACCUAGGAAGACCAGGUGCUAUAGGUG